rnacentral:rRNA from 1 species
UUAAAAGUUNGGGGCUUAACCCCGUGAUGGGAUGGAAACUGCUGAUCUAGAGUAUNGGAGAGGAAAGUGGAAUUCCUAGUGUAGCGGUGAAAUGCGUAGAUAUUAGGAAGAACACCAGUGGCGAAGGCGACUUUCUGGACGAAACCUGACGCUGAGGCGCGAAAGCCANGGGAGCGAACGGGAUUAGAUACCCCGGUAGUCUUGGCCGUAAACGAUGGGUACUAGGUGUAGGAGGUAUCGACCCCUUCUGUGCCGGAGUUAACGCAAUAAGUACCCCGCCUGGGGAGUACGACCGCAAGGUUGAAACUCAAAGGAAUUGACGGGGGCCCGCACAAGCGGUGGAGUAUGUGGUUUAAUUCGACGCAACGCGAAGAACCUUACCAGGUCUUGACAUUGAUGGACAGAACCAGAGAUGGUUCCUCUUCUUCGGAAGCCAGAAAACAGGUGGUGCACGGUUGUCGUCAGCUCGUGUCGUGAGAUGUUGGGAUAAGUCCCGCAACGAGCGCAACCCCUAUCUUAUGUUGCCAGCACUUCGGGUGGGAACUCAUGAGAGACUGCCGCAGACAAUGCGGAGGAAGGCGGGGAUGACGUCAAAUCAUCAUGCCCCUUAUGACCUGGGCUACACACGUACUACAAUGGGAGUUAAUAGACGGAAGCGAGAUCGCGAGAUGGAGCAAACCCGAGAAACACUCUCUCAGUUCGGAUCGUAGGCUGCAACUCGCCUACGUGAAGUCGGAAUCGCUAGUAAUCGCAGGUCAGCAUACUGCGGUGAAUACGUUCCCGGGCCUUGUACACACCGCCCGUCACACCACGAAAGUCGGAAGUGCCCAAAGCCGGUGGGGUAACCUUCGGGAGCCAGCCNU